rnacentral:rRNA from 1 species
CGGGAUUGAAAUGUACCUGACGAACUGCGAGAGUGGUUUUCCAGCAAUGGCAGGUAUGUAGGUGCUGCAUGGUUGUCGUCAGCUCGUGCCGUGAGGUGUCGGCUUAAGUGCCAUAACGAGCGCAACCCUGACUGUCAGUUGCUAACAGGUUAAGCUGAGGACUCUGGCGGGACUGCCGGCGUAAGCUGUGAGGAAGGUUGGGAUGACGUCAAAUCAGCACGGCCCUUACAUCCGGGGCGACACACGUGUUACAAUGGCAGGGACAAAGGGCAGCUACCGAGCGAUCGGAUGCAAAUCUCUAAACCCUGUCUCAGUUCGGAUCGGAGUCUGCAACUCGACUCCGUGAAGCUGGAUUCGCUAGUAAUCGCGCAUCAGCCAUGGCGCGGUGAAUACGUUCCCGGGCC